rnacentral:snRNA from 1 species
CAAACUGGCUGCGACAUUUGUCACCCCGUUGAUUGCUAAGCUUCCAUCCUAGAGGAUGACCUUUCCUGACUAGAGGAGGACCAGUCUUCGGCCAGGGGUGUGUGAAUAGCUGCGCUCCCCUGCUAGACCUUCCAAACAAGCUCUCAAGAGUUCUUAUGUGUCUGCACCACAGAGACCCCUGAAUUCUGUUUCUACGAGAGUCUCAUAGUCUGAGGUCU